GCAGCUGCCGGACACCAGAAGACGACGGAAGGUCUACAGUGUUACAGCUCCGACCCAAGAAGUCCCAGGGUCUUGGCUUCCAGAAGGGUUGCGGCUUUUCCCUCCCUCAGUCCAACGAACAGGAGCAUGUCACCUCCCGCAGCUCGGGGAGCUGGCCAGGAACGUGUUACAGCCCCUUUCGCUCCUGUCCGCAGCUGGGCGAGGCAGCCAGGAAAACAUUACAGCUCUUCUCACGCCCGCCAUUCAGCAGGUCCUGACUUCUUGUGUGACAUCCAGAAGAAUGGGGUUACAUAGACAACUGGAGGGUGAGCAAAGUGGAGAAGUUCUCAGCAGAGAGGAGACUGGAGUGAGUUGCCCCUACCCGCAGGAAAGACAGCAUUCAAGGAACCACCUUGUACGCAGACACUGAAACCUCACGAGACAACAAAACUGCUGACACGUUGAUCUUGGACUUCCCAGCCUCCAGAACUAUUUCAAAUUAUAAAGUAUACCUAUUCCUUAAGAACAAACCAAACGCAAACCUGGAAGAAAAAAGAAAGAUUGAAGUAGAACUAAAUAAUAUUGAAACCAACAAGCAAUACAAGAAACCAGCAAAGAGUACAUAGGGCAAACAUUUUUUUUAGAAGGAUUAAAUGGGACAAUUAAACAAUUUGAUCAGCAUAAUGUCCAGCUCAAGGAUCUUGGAGGUGGCAAAGCAGCCCAAGUGGAAAGGCAGCAGAAGGGGUAUCCUUGUUUUACCAAUUACUCAUAUGUAGGAGAUGGUGCAUUAAAUGAAAUAUUCUCUGCUCUCUCCUAACAUCUACCCCUCACACCCAAGAGGAAGGCAUGUCACCUGAACCUUUGCAGUAUUCAGUUAAAGUUCUAUUCACACGGUACUGCAGUUGUUUGCUUAUCUUUCUCUCUUAUUAGACUUAACACUUCUGAAAACUAGAAGGCUGUAUUAUUUAUCUGCCUCAGAGUCCUGUAGGCCUAUCAAAUGGCACACCUUAAAUCCAUGAAUGAAUGAAUUAAAUAAAUGUGAAGAAAAAAAUGCAAGGUUUUUUUUGUUGUUAAAUUUAUUUUUCCCCAAAAUAUUUACUGAGAAAAUGACUCUGGGAAGAUAGCAGAGUGGAAAGCCCCAGAAAUGUGUUUCCCCACCUAGACAACAACUGUACUGGCAGAAUCUGUUUGAUGUUUCUGAAUUGAAUAAAUAUGAAGAAAAUACAAA